rnacentral:rRNA from 1 species
GAUGAACGCUAGCGGCAGGCCUAAUACAUGCAAGUCGUACGGCAGCACAGUUGCGAGCAAUCGCAACCGGUGGCGAGUGGCGCACGGGUGAGUAACGCGUAUGUAACCUACCCUUCUCCAGGACAUAACUCCGCGAAAGCGGUGCUAAUAUCCUAUAUCAACACUUGAAGACAUCUUCUUGUGUUGAAAGUAGCAAUGCGGUGAAGGAUGGGCAUGCGUCCCAUUAGCUGGUUGGUGAGGUAAUGGCCCACCAAGGCUACGAUGGGUAGGGGUUCUGAGAGGAAAGUCCCCCACACUGGUACUGAGACACGGACCAGACUCCUACGGGAGGCAGCAGUAAGGAAUAUUGGGCAAUGGUCGAAAGACUGACCCAGCCAUGCCGCGUGCAGGAUGAAGGCCCUAUGGGUUGUAAACUGCUUUUAGCCGGGAAUAAUUACCCGUUCUCUAACGGGCUUGAAGGUACCGGCUGAAUAAGCAUCGGCUAACUCCGUGCCAGCAGCCGCGGUAAUACGGAGGAUGCAAGCGUUAUCCGGAUUCACUGGGUUUAAAGGGUGCGCAGGCGGACAUUUAAGUCAGGGGUGAAAUCCUACAGCUUAACUGUAGAACUGCCCUUGAUACUGAAUGCCUAGAGUAAAGUUGAAGUGGGCGGAAUGUGUUGUGUAGCGGUGAAAUGCUUAGAUAUAACACAGAACACCAAUCGCGAAGGCAGCUCACUAAACUUUAACUGACGCUCAUGCACGAAAGCGUGGGGAGCAAACA